rnacentral:lncRNA from 1 species
UACACACAGGCCCGGAUCUUCUAAGGCAUUGCAAUGAUGAGAUUUGACCAUAGGUUUUCCACCUCUCAGGUGCGAGAUGUUCCAGCAGCCCACGGGGAUUUCUCUUGAGCUGGAAAAGAGACUCAGUGAUUUCUCUCAAAAAAAUAUUGUUCUGAAGGAGACACUGAGGAAAUUCAAAGACUUGUUUAAUUCAGAGUGGAAAGCUGGGCAUAAUGCUGACUGCAUGACAUCUCUCCUCUCUAGACACUCUGGCUCUGGCACUACAGACUGGGGCAGGGAGAUCUCUAGCAUGGGGAGUGGACACCAUAGGAAGAAAGGCGAAUGUGACUCUGGAUCCAGACACAGCUCAUCCCCAGCUUGUCCUGUCUGCGGACGGGAAAGGCUUGAAACGGGGACAUGAGACGCAGGAUCUGCCCGACAAUCCCAAGCGAUUCAAUUCCGUUCUCUCCGUGCUGGGCUGUGAGGGGUUCACCUCGGGCAGACAUUACUGGGAGGUGGAGGUGGGC